CUGAUCACCUGCCUCCUCUUGGCUUCCCCAAACUCAUCUCCCUGCGUUUUUAUACCCAGGACCCAAACACUUCAAACAUCAAACUGCCCCACUCUUCAGCUGGCUCUCUGGAGCUCUUCCUGCCCAGGGGCUUGGAGGAGGCUCUGGAUCUGUUGAUGCUGCUGAACCGAGCUCUGCAGAACGCCCUGAACUCACGGACAAACAAAUAUUGAGAGGCAGUCAGCACAGAAGUGGUGACAAGAUGAUGAAAUGGAAACCCAAAUGGAUAUUUUACAUACUUGCCUUUACUGCCUUUCAGUAGUUUGAAGGUUCCUGCUGGAAGUUCUGAGCCUGGAUUUUAUUCAUUCAGCUGCUUAAUAUUUGUGAUGUGUAAAUAUCUUUUUAGACCAUGAGUAAUGGCACAUAUUGGAUUUUAUUCAACAGACUGUUUACAAAAUGCUUUAUAGUUAUUUAAAAAAAAAAA